UCCACCAAGAUGAGCUAUUUAUGAGCUUUCUUCUUGCUGUUAGAGUUGCUUCCACAUAUUUUGGUGACCAAUUCUUUUCUUAAGCUCCACCAUCACCUUUUUCUCAAAGAUUUAGCUCAAGUACCUGAAGUUGCUCCAAAUCUUGUUGGUUGUCCUCUAGAAAAUGGGGAAUACCUUUGUGUACAUUACAUCCAAUGAGCAAAGCAUUGACAUUCAAAUAACUAGAUUGAUAUGGGAGGACCCUCUCCUUCCUUAAACAAUGAUCUCGAUCCUCCCACCUAUUAUAUAUGAAUGUAAUAUAACUCUUGCAAGGUUUACUGCAAGUGGCUACUGAAAUGUGCUACAGUGCUCAACUCUUCUUGUACAUGAAGUCCCGAUUCC
rnacentral:lncRNA from 1 species